UACGGGGGGGGCAAGCGUUGUUCGGAAUUACUGGGCGUAAAGGGUCUGUAGGUGGCCAACUAAGUCAGACGUGAAAUCCCUCAGCUUAACUGGGGAACUGCGUCUGAGACUGGAUGGCUCGAGUGCAGGAGAGGAAUGCGGAAUUCCAGGUGUAGCGGUGAAAUGCGUAGAGAUCAGGAAGAACACCAGUGGCGAAGGCGCUCUGCUAGGCCGUAACUGACACUGAGGGACGAAAGCUAGGGGAGCGAAUGGG
rnacentral:rRNA from 1 species